CGAUGGAAGAAAGGGUUAACAAUUUUCUCGUAUUGUGCAUGUUGAACAUCACAAUCGUAAACAAAGGUAAAACUUGACAGUACAGCUGACGUGGACCAAGGCUAAGGAACAAGAGGUAUCCUCCAGUAAAGCCAAGCCGGCCCUGAAAAAAAGUAAACCACCAUCCACCAGGAGAAGGGACGCCAAGCGUUUCGACCAAUGGGUGCAGGCAAAAAGCUCUGCUGCAACAUCGGCAGAGGUCAUACCACAUACCACCAAGGUAGACCAGAACCAACAGACAGAACCCAAAACAGCAUGAGAGGGAAGCAGGGAGAUAGUACCCACAAAAUAUCAAGGGGAACCUGAGGGCAUUAUCAUCAAGACGGACACUGUCAUCAGUCCGUACAACCCCAGGAAGGCAUGCCAUCGCCAAUACUACCUCCAGCCAACUAAAGACAGAGGCAAGCGAUGCCGCAUCGACUAUGACGAGGGAUUCGACCUAGAUGAUCCUGAGUUGCUCCGGACACCACCUCACACAUCGCCACUAUUGAUGCCAUCUCCAGAGGCAGUUACAACAGCACUUAUGAUCUUGGAACGGCCAGAUACUCCUUAUCACACUCCUAGAAACAAAGUAAAAGCUAAACGGUCAACUGAAUCAGAACCAGACAAUAAGUAGAAAGUCUGCAGUAUCCAGACAGGAUAGUCGGACAGAAAAACCCACAUAUCAUCAUCAAAAUGAUAUCAGUCGAUACAUUGAUUCGUACUGAUCACAGCUUAACACUACCGGUACUCACUUUUUGGACAAAUCAUCAUGGAUGAUCAUCCCUGAUGAAUUGAAUGCUUUGUUAGCAGCCUUGAAGUUGUCUGGUAAAGAACCUGCCUGUAAGUUCUCGGCAAGUACUGACCAGGUGACAGUACAGUUGACGUGGACCAAAGCUAAGGAACAAGAGACAAAUGACAGAGGCAAACGCAGUAGGAUCGAAGGGUUUGACAUCGACGACCCAGACCUACUGCGCACACCACCACACACAUCACCCGUCCUUAAUGCAGAUUCCAAAGAGGCAAUACAAACAGCCAUGCUAGCAGCACUACCUGAUACUCCAUACCAGCAACACCAACACAGUCGGAGUAAAAUGAAUGCCAAAAGACAAACAGACACCGGUCUGUAAAAUAGGUUAUUCCAGUCUGCAAUAUCCAGACAGGAUAGCUGGACGUGAAACAUCUACAUAUCGUUAAAAUGAUAUCAGUAACACAAUGAGUCAGUCAAAGUUAAAGUCCUUCUUUAAAAGAAAACCUGAUGACAUUGAAUCAUCAGUACCAAGUAGAAGACCAAGAGUCACUGAGCCACUACACCAAGAAUUGAUAGACAUAGAAAGAUCUUCAGAAACAACUACUGCAGUCACUACACCAACUAAGCCAAAGAAAGAGAGGAUGGCAGUCUAUCUAUUAAUCAUCUAUAGUGCUUUUAUAAUAAAUGCUUUAUUGUGUAUGUACUGUAGUGCCUUUUAAAUGUCUGUUAUACAUGUUGUAAUAAACAAUAACAAAAGACUAUAACAUGAUAUAAUAAAAAUUAUCAAUCGAACAUGCAUCGUUUUAGUUUUAUUUCUUCAUAUUUCAUCAUAUUGAGACACAAAAAAUUACAUGCAUCCUGAACUCAUCAAAAUCUACUGGGACUCACAAUUUCAA
rnacentral:lncRNA from 1 species